rnacentral:rRNA from 1 species
GAUGAACGCUAGCGACAGGCUUAACACAUGCAAGUCGAGGGGCAGCACGGGAGUAGCAAUACAACUGGUGGCGACCGGCGCACGGCUGAGUAACGCGUAUGCAACCUACCUAUCAGAGGGGAACAACUCGGCGAAAGUCGGACUAAUACCGCAUAAAACAGGGGCACUGCAUGGUGCUAUUUGUUAAAGAAAUUCGCUGAUAGAUGGGCAUGCGUUCCAUUAGGUGGUUGGUUGGGUAACGGCUCACCAAGCCGACGAUGGAUAGGGGAACUGAGAGGUUGGUCCCCCACACUGGUACUGAAACACGGACCAGACUCCUACGGGAGGCAGCAGUGAGGAAUAUUGGUAAAUGGGCGAGAGCCUGAACCAGCCAAGUCGCAUGAAGGAAGAAGGAUCUAUGGUUCGUAAACUUCUUUUGCAGGGGAAUAAAGUGCAGGACGUGUCCUGUUUUGUAUGUACCCUGAGAAUAAGGAUCGGCUAACUCCGUGCCAGCCGCCGCCGUAA